AUGGAUAUAAAAUCCGCAUUUUUAAACGGGGAGUUAAAAGAAGAAGUAUAUGUGAAGCAAUCACCGGGUUACAUCAAAAAGGGAGAGGAGCACAAGGUGUUGAGACUAUACAAGGCAUUGUACGGGCUAUGCCAAGCUCCUCGGGCAUGGAACAUCAAGCUUGAUCGUACACUAGUUUAUCUUGGUUUUGAGAAGAGUCCACUGGAGCAUGCUAUGUACAAGCGAGGUAAAGGCAAGGAUCGUCUCCUAGUGGCCAUUUAUGUUGAUGAUCUCUUGCUAACUAGAGCAGAUGAGGAGGAGAUUGCUAGGUUCAAGCUACAAAUGAAGGAGCUUUUCAAGAUGAGUGAUCUAGGGCUCUUGACUUACUAUCUCGGGAUCGAGGUACAUCAAAAGCCGGAGGAAAUCACACUAUGCCAGGACGCAUAUGCAAAGAAGAUUCUUGAAAGCUGUAGCAUGGAGGACUGCAAUCCAAGUCAUGUUUCAAUGGAGCCUCGACUUAAACUUAGCAAGAGGAGCCAAGCACCCGUGGUUGAUGCAACGGAGUAUAGAAGUGUGGUCGAAAGCCUAAGGUAUCUUGUGAAUACACGACCAAACUUGGCCUAUUCCGUUGGCGUAGUGAGUCGCUUCAUGGAAGCACCCACGACAGAACAUUAG
rnacentral:rRNA from 1 species